CUGCGUGUAGCUCAGUCUGGUAGAGUUUUCGCUUUGGAAGCGAAAGGCCGUAGGUUCAGAUCCUGCCACGCAGACCA
rnacentral:tRNA from 1 species